UACGGAGGGUGCGAGCGUUGUCCGGAAUCACUGGGCGUAAAGGGCGCGUAGGCGGCGCGGGUAGUCAACGGUGAAAGCUUGGGGCUCAACCCCGAGUCGGCCGUCGAUACUCCCGUGCUUGAGCACUGUAGAGGCAGGUGGAAUUCCGGGUGUAGCGGUGGAAUGCGUAGAGAUCCGGAAGAACACCGGUGGCGAAGGCGGCCUGCUGGACAUGUAUUGACGCUGAGGUGCGAAAGCGUGGGGAGCAAACAGG
rnacentral:rRNA from 1 species